AGUGAACGCUGGCGGUAGGCCUAACACAUGCAAGUCGAACGGCAGCACAGUAAGAGCUUGCUCUUACGGGUGGCGAGUGGCGGACGGGUGAGGAAUACAUCGGAAUCUACUUUUUCGUGGGGGAUAACGUAGGGAAACUUACGCUAAUACCGCAUACGACCUACGGGUGAAAGCAGGGGAUCUUCGGACCUUGCGCGAUUGAAUGAGCCGAUGUCGGAUUAGCUAGUUGGCGGGGUAAAGGCCCACCAGUGCGACGAUCCGUAGCUGGUCUGAGAGGAUGAUCAGCCACACUGGACCUGAGACACGGUCCAGGCUCCUACGGGAGGCAGAGGUGGGGAAUAUUGGACAAGGGGGGCAAGCCUGAUCCAGCCAUACCGCGUGGGUGAAGAAGGCCUGCGGGUUGUAAAGCCCUUUUGUUGGGAAAGAAAAGCAGCAGGUUAAUACCCCGCUGUUCUGACGGUACCCAAAGAAUAAGCACCGGCAAACUUCGU
rnacentral:rRNA from 1 species